rnacentral:rRNA from 1 species
CAGCCGCCACGGGAAUACGUAGGUGGCAAGCGUUGUCCGGAAUUAUUGGGCGUAAAGCGCGCGCAGGCGGUUUCUUAAGUCUGAUGUGAGAGCCCCCGGCUCAACCGGGGAGGGUCAUUGGAAACUGGGAAACUUGAGUGCAGAAGAGGAGAGUGGAAUUCCACGUGUAGCGGUGAAAUGCGUAGAGAUGUGGAGGAACACCAGUGGCGAAGGCGACUCUCUGGUCUGUAACUGACGCUGAGGAGCGAAAGCGUGGGGAGCGAACAGGAUUAGAUACCCCUGUAGUCCCUGUCUCUUAUAC